rnacentral:rRNA from 1 species
AUUGGGCCUAAAGCAUCCGUAGCCGGCUCUGUAAGUUUUCGGUUAAAUCUGUACGCUUAACGUACAGGCUGCCGGGAAUACUGCAGAGCUAGGUAGUGGGAGAGGUAGACGGUACUCGGUAGGAAGGGGUAAAAUCCUUUGAUCUAUUGAUGACCACCUGUGGCGAAGGCGGUCUACCAGAACACGUACGACGGUGAGGGAUGAAAGCUGGGGGAGCAAACCGGAUUAGAUACCCGGGUAGUCCCAGCUGUAAACUAUGCAAACUCAGUGAUGCAUUGGCUUGUGGCCAAUGCAGUGCUGCAGGGAAGCCGUUAAGUUUGCCGCCUGGGAAGUACGUACGCAAGUAUGAAACUUAAAGGAAUUGGCGGGGGAGCACCACAAGGGGUGAAGCCUGCGGUUCAAUUGGAGUCAACGCCAGAAAUCUUACCCGGAGAGACAGCAGAAUGAAGGUCAAGCUGAAGACUUUACCAGACAAGCUGAGAGGUGGUGCAUGGCCGUCGCCAGCUCGUGCCGUGAGAUGUCCUGUUAAGUCAGGUAACGAGCGAGAUCCCUGCCUCUAGUUGCCACCAUUACUCUCAGGAGUAGUGGGGCGAAUUAGCGGGACCGCCGCAGUUAAUGCGGAGGAAGGAAGGGGCCACGGCAGGUCAGUAUGCCCCGAAACUCUGGGGCCACACGCGGGCUGCAAUGGUAACGACAAUGGGUUUCGAAUUCGAAAGGAUGAGGUAAUCCUCAAACGUUACCACAGUUAUGACUGAGGGCUGCAACUCGCCCUCACGAAUAUGGAAUCCCUAGUAACUGCGUGUCACUAUCGCGCGGUGAAUACGUCCCUGCUCCU